UACAGAGGGGGCCAGCGUUAUUCGGAAUUAUUGGGCGUAAAGGGCGCGUAGGCGGCUCUGCGUGUCUUUCGUGAAAUCCCUCGGCUUAACCGGGGAACUGCAUCUGAUACUGGAUGGCUUGAGUUCGGGAGAGGGAUGCGGAAUUCCAGGUGUAGCGGUGAAAUGCGUAGAUAUCUGGAGGAACACCGGUGGCGAAGGCGGCAUCCUGGACCGACACUGACGCUGAGGAGCGAAAGCCAGGGGAGCAAACGGG
rnacentral:rRNA from 1 species